AGCAGUAGCCGCGGUAAUACGUAGGGUGCGAGCGUUAAUCGGAAUUACUGGGCGUAAAGCGUGCGCAGGUGGUUUAAUAAGUCUGAUGUGAAAGCACACGGCUCAACCGUGGAGGGUCAUUGGAAACUGUUAAACUUGAGUGCAGGAGAGAAAAGUGGAAUUCCUAGUGUAGUGGUGAAAUGCGUAGAGAUUAGGAGGAACACCAGUGGCGAAGGCGGCUUUUUGGCCUGUAACUGACACUGAGGCGCGAAAGCGUGGGGAGCAAACAGGAUUAGAUACCCGCGUAGUCCCUGUCUCUUAUAA
rnacentral:rRNA from 1 species